rnacentral:rRNA from 1 species
UACGUAGGGUGCAAGCGUUGUCCGGAAUUAUUGGGCGUAAAGAGCUCGUAGGCGGUUUGUCGCGUCUGCUGUGAAAACUGGAGGCUCAACCUCCAGCCUGCAGUGGGUACGGGCAAACUAGAGUGCGGUAGGGGAGAUUGGAAUUCCUGGUGUAGCGGUGAAAUGCGCAGAUAUCAGGAGGAACACCGGUGGCGAAGGCGGGUCUCUGGGCCGAUACUGACGCUGAGGAGCGAAAGCGUGGGGAGCGAACAGG